CAGAGGGUAGUUUAAUUUAUGAUCUUAGCUUUGGGAGUUAAGGAUAGGAGUUAGAGUCUUCUCCUUCUGA
rnacentral:tRNA from 1 species